rnacentral:rRNA from 1 species
AGUGAACGCUGGCGGUAGGCCUAACACAUGCAAGUCGAACGGCAGCACAGUAAGAGCUUGCUCUUACGGGUGGCGAGUGGCGGACGGGUGAGGAAUACAUCGGAAUCUACUUUUUCGUGGGGGAUAACGUAGGGAAACUUACGCUAAUACCGCAUACGACCUACGGGUGAAAGCAGCGGAUCUUCGGACCUUGCGCGAUUGAAUGAGCCGAUGUCGGAUUAGCUGGUUGGCGGGGUAAAGGCCCACCAAGGCGACGAUCCGUAGCUGGUCUGAGAGGAUGAUCAGCCACACUGGAACUGAGACACGGUCCAGACUCCUACGGGAGGCAGCAGUGGGGAAUAUUGGACAAUGGGCGCAAGCCUGAUCCAGCCAUGCCGCGUGGGUGAAGAAGGCCUUCGGGUUGUAAAGCCCUUUUGUUGGGAAAGAAAAGCAGCAGGUUAAUACCCCGCUGUUCUGACGGUACCCAAAGAAUAAGCACCGGCUAACUUCGUG